AUUUCGAUAGCUUAUAAUAUCAGAGCAUAGCACUGAAGAUGCUAAGGAAGCGAGUUACGCUUCGAAAUA
rnacentral:tRNA from 2 species